CCCUAUCUGCCGUGGGCGCUGGAGAACUGAGGGGGGCUGCUCCUAGUACGAGAGGACCGGAGUGGACGCAUCACUGGUGUUCGGGUUGUCAUGCCAAUGGCACUGCCCGGUAGCUAAAUGCGGAAGAGAUAAGUGCUGAAAGCAUCUAAGCACGAAACUUGCCCCGAGAUGAGUUCUCCCUGACUCCUUGAGAGUCCUGAAGGAACGUUGAAGACGACGACGUUGAUAGGCCGGGUGUGUAAGCGCAGCGAUGCGUUGAGCUAACCGGUACUAAUGAACCGUGAGGCUUAACCUUACAACGCCGAAG
rnacentral:rRNA from 1 species